rnacentral:rRNA from 1 species
UACGAAGGGGGCUAGCGUUGCUCGGAAUCACUGGGCGUAAAGCGCACGUAGGCGGAUUGCUAAGUCAGGGGUGAAAUCCUGGAGCUCCAACUCCAGAACUGCCUUUGAUAACUGGCGAUCUUGAGUCCGGGAGAGGUGAGGUGGAACUGCGAGUGUAGAGGUGAAAUUCGUAGAUAUUCGCAAGAACACCAGUGGCGAAGGCGGCUCACUGGCCCGGCUACGUGACGCUGAGGUG